UACGGAGGGGGCGAGCGUUAUUCGGAAUUAUUGGGCGUAAAGGGCGCGUAGGCGGCUCGAUAAGUCAAAGGUGAAAUCCCUCGGCUCAACUGAGGAACUGCCUUUGAAACUGUCGAGCUCGAGUCCGGGAGGGGGUAGCGGAAUUCCCAGUGUAGCGGUGAAAUGCGUAGAUAUUGGGAGGAACACCAGUGGCGAAAGCGGCUCACUGGACCACAACUGACGCUGAUGCACGAAAGCUAGGGGAGCAAACAGG
rnacentral:rRNA from 1 species